UGACCGGUGCCAAAGUAGCAUAAUCCAUUGUCUUUUAAUUAAAGGCUUGUAUGAAUGGUUGGAUGAGAUAUCAACUAUUUUUAUUUUAACAAAAAUGAAUUUUAAUUUUUAGUAAAAAUGCUAAAAUAAAAAAAUUAGACGAGAAGACCCUAUAAAUCUUUAUUUUUAAAAGAUAAUAUUAAUUUUGUAAAUUAUAAAAUAUUUAUUUUUUAAAAAUUUAAUUGGGAGGAUAAUGAAAUUUAAUAAACUUUUAUUUUGUUUUAUAAAUAUAAUUAAAUUUAUGAAUAUAUUAUAAUGUUUAGAAAAUUAAGUUACUUUAGGGAUAACAGCGUAAUUAUUUUAAAGAGUUCUUAUCGAUAAAAUAGUUUGCGACCUCGAUGUUGAAUUAAGAAUUAAUAGGCGCAAAAGUGACU
rnacentral:rRNA from 1 species